GAUGAAGAACGCAGCGAAAUGCGAUAAGUAAUGUGAAUUGCAGAAUUCAGUGAAUCAUCGAAUCUUUGAACGCACCUUGCGCCCUUUGGCCAUUCCGAAGGGCAUGCCUGUUUGAGUAUCAUGAACACCUCAACUCUUCAUGGUUUUCCAUGAUGAGCUUGGACUUUGGGGGUCUUGCUGGCCUGUGGGUCGGCUCCUCUCAAAUGAAUCAGCUUGCCGGUUUUUGGUGGGCAUCACAGGUGUGAUAACUAUCUACGAUUGUGGUUUUCCACCAGGGUAACCUUCAGCAGUGGAGGUUCACUGGAGCUUACAAAUGUCUCUCCUCUGUGAGGACAGCCCUUUGAAUGUUUGAUCUCAAAUCAGGUAGGACUACCCGCUGAACUUAAGCAUAUCAAUAAGCGGAGGA
rnacentral:misc_RNA from 1 species